rnacentral:lncRNA from 1 species
CUUCACUCCACUAACCUCUGUGCAGCAAGGUUGCCACAGCAUUUUUGGAAUUCUGCUGACGUGACGAGAACCUUCAGCUCCUCGGCACUCUACGGAAAGUCAGAGCUGACUCCACUUGGAGUUUCCGUGAGGUUCACCAUGAGGCAGAAUUACAAGCUUGGGAUGCACAUGUGAUGUUUGGAACUGCAGCUGCCACCUUGAGAUCAUGAAGCACGAGAAUGAAAAGACAUUAACCCUGAGGAUGGCAAAGAAGGAUGGAAAAAGCAUGGAAGGAUCAGCAAGUGACUGAACAAAUUCUGAGACCACCUAGCU